CAAGGAAUAGUUUAAAUAAAAUAUUAGUUUUGGGGAUUAAUGAUAGGGUUUCUUUUCCUUGA
rnacentral:tRNA from 1 species